rnacentral:rRNA from 1 species
GACGAACGCUGGCGGCGUGCUUAACACAUGCAAGUCGAACGGAAAGGCCCUGCUUUUGUGGGGUGCUCGAUUGGCGAACGGGUGAGUAACACGUGAGUAACCUGCCCUUGUCUUUGGGAUAACUUCAGGAAACUGGGGCUAAUACCGGAUAGGAGCUCCUGCAGCAUGGUGGGGGUUGGAAAGUUUCGGCGGUUGGGGAUGGACUCGCGGCUUAUCAGCUUGUUGGUGGGGUAGUGGCUUACCAAGGCUUUGACGGGUAGCCGGCCUGGGAGGGUGACCGGCCACAUUGGGACUGAGAUACGGACCAGUCUCCUACGGGAGGCAGCAGUGGGGAAUAUUGCACAAUGGGCGGAAGCCUGAUGCGGCAACGCCGCGUGCGGGAUGACGGCCUUCGGGUUGUAAACCGCUUUCGCCUGUGACGAAGCGUGAGUGACGGUAAUGGGUAAAGAAGCACCGGCUAACUACGUG